AGAAAUAGAUAAAAGGGUGAGUCAAAAAUCUGCAUCAAAGUAAAGCAGCGUUCAACGAGAAGAAAUAGUGCAGUGUCUAGUUACCUGGAGACUACAACCCGAUGACAGGAGAGCAUCAAGUUCAGUGCAGGUCCAAGGAGACAAAAAAGAAGCACGUUCACAGAGAUGAAAGAGGAGAAGAGAUUUCGGCAAGGGAAGGGGCUCACUUGUGUUUUCGGCCUUCUUUCGAUGCUUAUACUACGGUGCGUCCUGCGUAUGGAUGGCGGAAGCAAGGUCCAAACUAGAGGGUGCACUGCACUUGUUUUUUAUGCCUGUAUCGCGGUGCGUCCUGCAUAUGGGUGGCAAAAAAGAGUGUCAAGUGAAGGCCUGGGGCUGCUAGUUCACACCAACUACGAGUCUGCAAAGUUUUUGGGCUCACGAAGUGAAGAACUGCUUUGGAAGAAUCUUGGUGCAUCACUAAAGCCAAAGUGUUACGCAGCCUGCAUCAAAGUCAUCAUCAAAAUGCUGCCCCUGAAAGUAAAGUGACCAUGAUGGUACUCUCCUGCUGGUGAAAGACUGCUGCGUCAACAAAUGACUGGGCUCUUCUGACAAAGGACCGCUGCAUCAGGGUAUGAAAACCACACAGGCAAUGACAACGACCAGAGGCAACAAGCUUUGAACUGUAGCUCUUGUGUCAUCGAUAUUCAUGGCAACAAACUUUGGCAACAAAAUCAUCUCUUCUACCAAUGAUUAUGAGGCUUGCAAAUGAAAAAACAACUUUUGCAUUAUCAUCGUGAAAAGAGGCAGACGAAGCUGCAUGCUACAUGGCUAUAUGGUGAUUUCUCUCUUAAUACUGAAGCCCCAUAGGCAACAGCUCCACUUUUUCCACAUUGAAGGAGAUAUUGAUCACUUGGUCUGCAAAUAAUAAAGUCUCAGCCAAGCCAAAAUUCAAGACUGUCGUUGAUGCUCAGUUCGCUGCCAAACAAGAUUGUAACAUGCAAAUUAAUUGGACAUGCACAAGCUUUUCUCCCACCACCUAAAUCAUGGGACAAGCGUUGUAACGUCCCGUAUCUUACUUUACCUGUUUACUAGUCAUUUGGACGGUAAACGACAAUUACUUUCACUUUUACCGUCGUUUCGAUACUUUUAGUGGCCCUAAA